UACGUAGGGUGCAGGCGUUAAUCGGAAUUACUGGGCGUAAAGCGUGCGCAGGCGGUCUUUUAAGUCAGAUGUGAAAUCCCCGGGCUUAACCUGGGAACUGCGUUUGAAACUGGAAGGCUAGAGUGCGGCAGAGGAGACUGGAAUUCCUGGUGUAGCAGUGAAAUGCGUAGAUAUCAGGAGGAACACCGAUGGCGAAGGCAGGUCUCUGGGCUGACACUGACGCUCAUGCACGAAAGCGUGGGGAGCAAACAGG
rnacentral:rRNA from 1 species